rnacentral:rRNA from 1 species
AACGUAGGUGGCAAGCGUUAUCCGGAUUUACUGGGCGUAAAGCGUGCGCAGGCGGUUUUGUAAGUCUGUCGUGAAAGCCCCGGGCUCAACCUGGGAAUUGCGAUGGAGACUGCAAGGCUUGAAUCUGGCAGAGGGGGGUAGAAUUCCACGUGUAGCAGUGAAAUGCGUAGAGAUGUGGAGGAACACCGAUGGCGAAGGCAGCCCCCUGGGUCAAGAUUGACGCUCAUGCACGAAAGCGUGGGGAGCAAACAGG